GGUGGGCGCUUUCGAUCCCUUGCCAUGCCUUGCCCAGCUGGGCCGAAGCGUAAGGGUUAUUUGGCGAAACUUGGUUCGAUUCCAGGCGCCCACCCC
rnacentral:misc_RNA from 1 species